AAUUUGUUGAACACCAGAGAAGAAGAUCUUCUCUUGUCCACAAUGUCCAGCAGAGGGAGAAACGGCUUGUGCAGGAUCUGUGGUGGAGAUCUACAGGGAAACCAACGGCGAUGGCUCUUUGGGGGGCAAAACAAGAAGGGCAGCCAGCCUCAGACCCCGACAGAGUCUCUGAGAGGGGGCAGCCUGUGCCGCUCCUCACAGAGCAGCCCGUGGGGCAGCACUUUAUCCCUUGGAUCCUCGGGUUCGCUCUCCAAGUCUCAGUCGGUUUUGGGCUCCCCUUCCAAAAGCGUGGACCCGCUCUCGGUGCUCACCCACAUUCUGGGACAGCAGGUGCCCCGAGGCAGCGGACGGGAGGAGUUUGUGUGCGGAAAGUGCGUCUCGGCCCUGGAGCGGGUGUUCAAGUUUGACUCUGUGAUCUCCAGGGUCCGGGUGCUUUCCAACGAGCGCCUUCAGAAGCUCACGCAGGAGAGGGACAGGAUUCGACAGUGGGUGCGCAGCAACUACCGACACAGGCACCAGCAGGAGUUUCAGAGCAGGAGCAGCACCAGCGAGGACGACGGGGAGGAGAAGGAGGCCUACAGGGACAUGCUCAGAGAAAACAUGGCGCUGUCGGGGUAUGAGUGCUGGUCCGAGCGGUGGGACGCAUGUCCGUAUUUCAUACGAACCGGUAAAAGAUGCAGGAGAGGCAAAGGCUGUGAGGGCUGCGAUUCCCUGAGGGUGUCGGACUCCGACUACGAGUCCGUCUGCGGUAUUCCUCGACGUUUGCCUUCGGACGCCUUCUCGCCCUUGCAGCUGUCUGCAGACCGAUCCAGCAGCAUGCCCCUCCACUGGCAGAAGGGUUCAACCAUCAGCUCCAGCCCUGCUUCACUGGCGGGAUCCACCCUUUCCUUACGAGCGCCUUCCCGUACCCAGUCUGUCCAGUCUCUGGACUUAUCGAUGGGAAUGACUCGUUUGAUUUAACCUCUGCUCAGCCGCUCAACUUUCUCUUGAUGGAGCUCCGAGGCGUUGAAGCAAAGCCGGUCAGUUCACCCUCUGGGAGCAGAAUCCCAGUUCUGGGCAAAAACACUGGAAAAGGUUUGGAUAAAACCGAUGGGGGGGCAUCCCCAAGAGUUGGCAGAGUUCUGAACUUUGGGGAAGCUGAGAACGGAAAGGAUGGAAUGGAUGAAGAGGAUGAAGAUGUCUUGAUGGAUCUGAGGGAUGAAUACAUGCCGCUGCGAGAGAGCACUGCUGGUCGGGUUAACACCGCUGUCAGGAACCUGCGGGCCCAACUGGACAAAGCCGCGUCCCGCAUCAGGAUUCUGGAGGCCGAGCUGAAGCAAGGGGGGAGAAAACCGGCCGAAGCCAACGGAUCGUUGGACCUGGGUUCUGAUGGAGGAGACGGUUCCCUCCUGCAGACUCUCGGUCACUCCCUGCACAGCCGGGAGCGUCUGAUCCAGGAGUGCUUGAGUCUGGUUCGACGUCUGAGCGAGGGGGAGGGCGCCAGCUCUGAGCUGACCGACUGUCUGAAGCAAGUUUUUGCUGAAAACAAGGCUGCUCUGGAGGCUCUCAGAUCUGAGAGGAGUGAGGAGGAAAAGAGGCUGGAAAAAGAGGUGGAGGCCCUGAGGAAGGCAGGACGAGACCGAGAGCGAGACCUGGACACGCUGAACACCGUGCUGCAGUGCAACCAGGAGAUCAUAGGGGACCUGCGAGUGGCUCUGGAGGAGAAGGAGCGUCAGCUGAAGGAUGUGGAGAAGGAGCGAGAGUUGUGGAGGCAGAGAGACGGCGCCCUCUCUGCUGUCCUGCAGGAGAAGGAGGACCUGAUUCUGAGUUUAAGGCAGAAGCUGGAGUCUUCAGGCACUAAGACUGAGCUGGCAGCUUUGUUGAACGACAAAGCGGACAAGAGCGCCACCUUGUGUCAGGAGGUCAGCAACCUCACAGCAAGCUUGCAGGAGUACCAGGACAUGGUGAAGUCUCAGCAGGAGACGCAGGGUCAGACGGUGUCUGCUCUGUCAGCUCAGCUCAAAGAAGCUCGGCAGGAGCUGAGGAACGGGCUGAAGGAGAAGAAGGAGGCCGAACGAGCGUGGCGGAACGAGCAGGAGGACCGAGAGCGGGAGGCCAGGAAACUGAGGGACAGCCUGGAGAAGAGAGACAAACUCAUUGAGCAAAUCCUUCUGGAUUCUGAGGAGCGGGACCGCCUGCUCACGGAGCUGCAGCAGAACCUGCAGAACAAACGUGAACCCGUGACGGCCGUCAAGCACACACUGUGAGGGGGGGGGGACUGGUGCAUGCACACUCGCUGCACAGAGACUCUGGAUACUCUGCACUUUCUGCACCACUGUUUCCCCUUCUACAUAUAUUUAUGUUACCAGCUAGGUUUAUUUAUAUUUGCCCUCCAGUUAAUGAGGGAUUUGCACACCUGCUGUGUUCUGGAGGAGCAGAGGGAAUGCAGUUUUCCUGUCAUUUUUGUCAUAAUUACUACUGAGCUCUCUAAAAUGAAUCGGGAAGUUCAAAAAAAGGAGAGUCAACACUUAAGAUGAAACCUUGCAGAGCUCCAUGUUUGGUACUUGAUCGCAAAGUUACUGUACUGAGUGAAUUUGAGCAUUUCUGCUUCAUUUUGUUCAUUUAGAGUGUUUCUAACAGAUGGAAAAACCUUAAUGCAGGUCUGCUGGGAUGUCGCUUUAAACCUAAACUUCACUAAAGGGAAACUAGACUUAUUGCAGGAAAAUUUCUCAUCAGUCUCUCAUUUUUAUCUGCUGGAAUUUUCUCCUUUUUUAUGUAUUUUUUAUUUCACUGAGGAACAAUUAUUUUCAGCAAUUUAUUUUUUGGGGGCCUGGCAAUAGCGCUGAAGAUGAUGGUGUCUUUAUUUUUUAACUGAAGAGAAUUAAACUCUCUGAC
rnacentral:lncRNA from 1 species